rnacentral:lncRNA from 1 species
GGCUAGGCGGGUUGGGGGCAUGACUCAGGCUGGAGAUGGGAGGGAGGGAGGAGGGAGGCGGGACUCUUCCCCGUCUCCUCCCCUCCUCUCCCUCUCCCCGCCCCGGGGUGGGGCCCCGAAGGUCCGGGGCUUUCCCGGAUUUCCCUGGGGGCGGGGCAGCCGCUGGGGUUGAGUCCGGGUCACUGAGUCACAGGAGGCGGAGAGGGAGGCUUUGGGGACACAGGGGGCGGGGCAUGGGGGCUGCACCCCGGACUUGCCCAGGGGGCACGCGGCGUCUCUCUGGUUCUCUCCCCCGGUCUCCUUCUGUCUUCGAAACUUGCCUGACCUCCCUCUGGUUGUCUCCUGCCCCGCCCUCUGUCUCUGUCUCCCCAUCUCUGUUGCUGUCUCUGUGUCCCCUGGGACCUUGAAAGUGGGUAUUGGGGCCCCGGGAAGGGACUUUGGCCGGACUCGGGCCCCACCCGAGUGGAUCGUUAACCCAGGAUGUGAGAAGUGGCUGUGUGGAGAGGCCUCACCCCUUCCCUUCCUUUCGACCUCUCUCUGGAUCUCCCUUAUCCCCCUUCAUGGCGAAACAUCCCGAGCACAGACCUGUGUUAAUUCCACCUCCACCCCUUGCUCCCGGUGGGACCUCAGACAAGCCAUCCCCUGCCUUGAGACUCAGUUUGUUCUUCUGGAAAAUGGGACCAAUGGCAACCCCUGCCUGCUGGUGUUGUGGGGGCCACAGCAAGGGAAGAGGGGAGGAAUUCGGUUGGACAGGCUGGGGGCUGUGUUCCCUGCCCAUCCAACCCCACCCCUGGGGACCCUCAGACACAGGAGAGGGGUGUGGAGCACUAUCCCAAUGCACAGAAAGGAAAGCUGAGGUUUGGAGGGGCGAGGCUUAGGGUGGGGACCCUCAGAGGUAGGGUGGGAAGGACACCCAAGCCUGUCCCACUCCUGGCAUCCCAGGGCAGCUGGUGCAGUGGUUCCAACCUAGCAGGACUGUAGAGGGGAGAAGAUGUGAUGGGUCCGGUGGGAGCUUCGAAGGGCUGGGAGAGACGGUGCUGCUGGAAGAGAGGGUGCUGAUGGUUCUCUGAGGUUGGAAGAGGGAUAAAAGGGUCAGAAGGAGGAGGAUCUGAAGAAGGAAGAUAGGUCUGAGAGAGAAGUAGAUGGUUUAGUGGGAGGAGGGGGAGAGGAUCUGAAGGAGGAGGACAGGGUCUGUUGGAGGAGGUAAGGGUCUGAUGGAGGAAAUAAGGGUCUGAGGGUGGAGGCGAGGUUUGGAGGGAGGAGGUGAAGGUCUGAGGGAGGAGACAAGGGUCUGAAGGAGGAGAUAAGAGUCUGAGGAAGGAGGCGAGGGUUUGAGAGAGGAGGUGAGGGUCUGAAGGAGGAGGUGAGGGUCUGAAGGUGGAGGUGAGGUUCGGGGGGAGGAGAUGAGGGGCUAAGGGAGGAGGUGAGGGUCUGAGAGAGGAGACGAGGGUCUGAAGGAGGUGGGGGUCUGAGGGAGGAGGUGAGAGUCUGAAGGAGGAGAUAAGCAUGUGAGGAAGGAGGUGAGGGUUUGAGAGAGGAGGUGAGGGUUUGAGAGAAUAGGUGAGGGUUUGAAGGAGGAGGUAAGGGUCUGAGGGAGGAGGUGAGGGUCUGAAGGAGGAAGUGAGGGUCUGAGUGAGGAGGUGAGGGUCUGAGGGGAGGGGAGAGUAUCUGAGGGAGAGGGCACAGUCUGAGGAAGUCUGAGAAGCACUAAGUGAGGGGACGCAGCUCUGAGGGAGGAGGAGAGAGUUGGAGGGGAAAGAAGGGUCUGAGGAAAGAAGAUUUGGAGAGAGUCUGAGGGUAGAGGCCAGAUCUGAGGGAGAAGAAAGAGGCUCAGGGGAAAAGAUCUGAGGGUCCGAGGGUGGAAGGCAUGGACUAGGGGAGGAGGAGCUGGUGGGGUGGAGGGGUGGAGAGGCGUGCCUCCGGAGCCAGCAGGGACCAAGGGGAGGGAAGGGAAGGGAGGCUGGGAGGCAGCCCCGCCCUGCAGCUGUCUCUAAUUUCCCAGAAUCUUCUGCUCUCAGGAAAGUCCCAGCUCCCACAGCAGCCUCCCUCCAAUGUCGGGAACGGAGGAUGCGGAACCAGGAUGGCCACCCCCACCCUCCCCCGGCUCCUUGCACCCCAGGCGGAAAGGACUAGGGUCUCCUUUCUCUGGGCCUUGGCCUCUGGAGGGCCCCCACCCGCAGGGGCAGCCCCUGGAUGAGUCUUAGAAACUUCCCAGAGGAGGCCAGGAAGUUCUGCUUGGUGUCUAACCACUUUCCCCUCAUGCAGGCCGCCCUUUGUACCUGUUCAGAUCUCCUCCCCAGCUGCUGUUUCUUUUUCCCCAACCCAUCCUGGGGGAGGAAAGGCCAGGAAUUUACCUGCUCAAAGUCCUGAGAGGGAAACGAAAUUCCAUCUGGAAGUCUGUAGGCUUGAGGCAGCUUUCUUGCUCUCAGGGGCCUCAAUUUCCCUUU